rnacentral:rRNA from 1 species
AUUGAACGCUGGCGGCAUGCCUUACACAUGCAAGUCGAACGGCAGCGGGGACUUCGGUCCGCCGGCGAGUGGCGAACGGGUGAGUAACGUAUCGGAACGUACCUUUCAGUGGGGGAUAACGUAGCGAAAGUUACGCUAAUACCGCAUAUUCUGUGAGCAGGAAAGCAGGGGAUCGCAAGACCUUGCGCUGAUUGAGCGGCCGAUAUCAGAUUAGCUAGUUGGUGAGGUAAAGGCCCACAAAGGCGACGAUCUGUAGCGGGUCUGAGAGGAUGAUCCGCCACACUGGAACUGAGACACGGUCCAGACUCCUACGGGAGGCAGCAGUGGGGAAUUUUGGACAAUGGGGGCAACCCUGAUCCAGCCAUGCCGCGUGAGUGAAGAAGGCCUUCGGGUUGUAAAGCUCUUUCGGCCGGGAAGAAAUCGUAUGGGUUAAUACCCUGUGCGGAUGACGGUACCGGCAUAAGAAGCACCGGCUAACUACGUGCCAGCCGCCGCCGUAA